rnacentral:rRNA from 1 species
GAGUUUGAUCCUGGCUCAGAUUGAACGCUGGCGGCAGGCCUAACACAUGCAAGUCGAGCGGUAGAGAGAAGCUUGCUUCUCUUGAGAGCGGCGGACGGGUGAGUAAUGCCUAGGAAUCUGCCUGGUAGUGGGGGAUAACGCUCGGAAACGGACGCUAAUACCGCAUACGUCCUACGGGAGAAAGCAGGGGACCUUCGGGCCUUGCGCUAUCAGAUGAGCCUAGGUCGGAUUAGCUAGUUGGUGAGGUAAUGGCUCACCAAGGCGACGAUCCGUAACUGGUCUGAGAGGAUGAUCAGUCACACUGGAACUGAGACACGGUCCAGACUCCUACGGGAGGCAGCAGUGGGGAAUAUUGGACAAUGGGCGAAAGCCUGAUCCAGCCAUGCCGCGUGUGUGAAGAAGGUCUUCGGAUUGUAAAGCACUUUAAGUUGGGAGGAAGGGCAGUAAAUUAAUACUUUGCUGUUUUGACGUUACCGACAGAAUAAGCACCGGCUAACUCUGUGCCAGCAG